rnacentral:rRNA from 1 species
AUGGAAAUGUUGCACUCUGAGAUGCAGACCUUGACCGUCUCUCGCUUGGAGGUGGUCCAGCCCCUUCACGACAUGAUGACUGCUUUACAGGGGUGGAUGACCCGGCUUGGUGGAUUCAUGGAGCAGAUGGAGGUUGUUGUUGGCCAACUGGGCUGCUUGCCAGCCUCGCUCCAGUCGCUUGAGAUGCCAGCUGUAGGUUCUGUUGGGAAUGUUGCUGGUGGUGUGGAUGUCGACAGCGAAGUGGCUAGUUGCUCGUCUGAGCUCCUUGCUUCGGUGGUGCAGCUUGGGGGUGUGACCCCUGUUCUUGUCUCGUUUUCGCCUUUGGAGGAGCAUGCUGAGGCUGCUGCGGCUAUGGCAUGCGCGGAGGCUGCUCUUGGCAGUCUUCCAGUUGAGCCUCCCAUGUCUCAGCUGCCCGAGCACCAGGUUGGUUCUGUGGAUGGACGAGAAGCAUGCCUUUAUGGAUGUUUCUCCCCUCGUGCCCCUCUCUGCACGUCGCCGCUACCUGUCAUGUUGAGUGACCCUGAGAGUGAGGUCGUCACCAAUGACGUGGCUCCGGUGAUACAAAGUAUGCCCGAGCUGCAUGCGUUAAGUGUGGAAACCAUUUCUCCUUCAUCGAUGGUGCUCUCGAAGGUGGAUUCGCUGGGUGCGAUGACGGUUGCCUCGACACCCUCUCCACCUCCCUUGCAGCCUGCAUGUGUGGAGAGUGGUGGUCCAGGAACGUCUGGCAGGUGCUCGCUUGAGCCCUUUGGAGGUGUGGUUCCUAUGGCCGAUGAAAUUGUUGUGGCCGGAGUGUUGGUGCCUAACCCCGGGGUCCUUUUAGCCACCAAGAUUUGUGAAUUCCUCGCCAAUUUGGAUUCUGAAAAUUCUGGGAAGACGAUUGGAUGCAUCUUGGAGGAAAAAUCUCUGAGGAAGAAGCACAAGAAGGGUGACUCUAACUCUAGAUCCGGCGCCCUUAAAGGGAAACCUUGCAGGAGCAAAAGCAAGAAGGAUGACACUACACGGGAGGCGCAAAUGACUCCAUGA